AUCCAACUGACGAGUCCCAAAUAGGACGGAACGCUCGUCUUGGAU
rnacentral:hammerhead_ribozyme from 1 species